rnacentral:rRNA from 1 species
UCUAGAGAUUUAGGUGAACCUGCGGAAGGAUCAUUACAGAAAGUAAACGCGGAUCAAACCGCGAACUUCUAAACCUUUGACGAUUGACUCAUGUUGCCUCGGCGGGUCCUCCCGCCAGAGGAUACAUCAAAACUCCUGUUUUAACGAUGUUGUCUGAGCUACAAGCAACGAAUCAAAACUUUCAACAACGGAUCUCUUGGUUCUGGCAUCGAUGAAGAACGCAGCGAAAUGCGAUAAGUAGUGUGAAUUGCAGAAUUCAGUGAAUCAUCGAAUCUUUGAACGCACAUUGCGCCCCUUGGUAUCCCGAGGGGCAUGCCUGUUCGAGCGUCAUUUCACCACUCAAGCCUGGCUUGGUGUUGGGCGACGUCCCCCUUUAGGGACGCGCCUCGAAACGCUCGGCGGCGUGGCACCGGCUUUAAGCGUAGCAGAAUCUUUCGCUUUGAAAGUCGGGGCCCCGUCUGCCGGAAGACCUACUCACAAGGUUGACCUCGGAUCAGGUAGGGAUACCCGCUGAACUUAAGCAUAUCAAUAAGCGGAGGA